rnacentral:lncRNA from 1 species
CGGCUAUACGUAGGCGCGCUCCAGCCUAGGAAAUAUUCUACGGGGGCACGCACGCCUGUUACUACGCGUUAAUCUUGUCGCGCCCUAGCUAGUGAUCAUGCAUACACGGGAAUAUUUAUUUUUCUUCUUUUUGACAAGAAGAACACGGCAGAAGAAUUGUCCAUAAGUCCAUAUUGAUCAAAGAAGAGGAAAAUAAUUGGAAAUUGUAAGAUAGUUCUAGAGGGGAAUCUCGCAUAUAUAGUCAAAAACAACACAAGGAGGAGGGGCUAACAUCGUAUAGAAGCGACUACCUUUUAUUGGAAAAUCUGCACAUAUAUUUCUUCUAAACAAAUUGCCCACACCAAGCAGAGG